rnacentral:rRNA from 1 species
UGGCUGCUGGAAGUAGAAAUCGUUAUUAAACGUCAGGAAGUCCUGGACGUUGAAUCCAAUAGCGUAGAUUUUAAAAACAUCGAUAUACGGAUUUCUCCUGAAAAAAC